GCAGCCGGCGCUCUGCUCCGGGACUCAUCGAGUUUGCCACCGCGGAGCUUUUUUUUUUUUUUGAGACGGAGUUUCGUUCUUGUUACCCAGGCUGGAGUGCGAUGGCACGAUCUCGGCUCACCGCAACCUCCGCCUCCUAGGUUCAGGCAAUUCUCCUGCCUCAGCCUCCUGAAUAGCUGGGAUUACAGGCACGUGCCACCAUGCGCAGCUAAUUUUUCUUAUUUUAUUUUCAGUAGAGACGGGGUUUCACCAUGUUGCCCAGGAUGGUCUCGAUCUCUUGACCUCAUGAUUCACCCGUCUCGGCCUCCCAAAGUGCUGGAUUACAGGCGUGAGCCACCGCGCCCAGCUAGGAGCGCCUCUUUUCCUUCCGCACGCCACUGAAGAUCCUGGUGUCGCUAUGGGCCGCCGCCCCGCCCGUUGUUGCCGGUAUUGUCAGAACAAGCCGUACCCAAAGUCCUGCU